AGUGAACGCUGGCGGUAGGCCUAACACAUGCAAGUCGAACGGCAGCACAGUAAGAGCUUGCUCUUACGGGUGGCGAGUGGCGGACGGGUGAGGAAUACAUCGGAAUCUACUUUUUCGUGGGGGAUAACGUAGGGAAACUUACGCUAAUACCGCAUACGACCUACGGGUGAAAGCAGGGGAUCUUCGGACCUUGCGCGAUUGAAUGAGCCGAUGUGGGAUUAGCUAGUUGGCGGGGUAAAGGCCCACCAAGGCGACGAUCCGUAGCUGGUCUGAGAGGAUGAUCAGCCACACUGGAAGUGAGACACGGUCCAGACUCCUACGGGAGGCAGCAGUGGGGAAUAUUGGACAAUGGGCGCAAGCCUGAUCCAGCCAUACCGCGUGGGUGAAGAAGGCCUUCGGGUUGUAAAGCCCUUUUGUUGGGAAAGAAAAGCAGCAGGUUAAUACCCCGCUGUUCUGACGGUACCCAAAGAAUAAGCACCGGCUAACUUCGUG
rnacentral:rRNA from 1 species